CCUACGGGGGGCUGCAGUAGGGAAUAUUAGAAAUGGACGAAAGUCUGAUCUAGCAACACCGCGUGUGCGAAGAAGGCCUUCGGGUCGUAAAGCACUUUUUGGAAGGAAUAGGAAGGAAUGUACUUCCAGAAUAAGUCUCGGCUAACUACGUGCCAGCAGCCGCGGUAACACGUAGGAGGCAAACGUUAUCCGGAUUUACUGGGCGUAAAGCGCGUGUAGGUGGUACUGUAAGUAGGGCGUGAAAGCUCCUGGCUCAACUGGGAGAGGCCGUUCUAAACUACAGAACUAGAGGAUGGUAGAGGGAGGUGGAAUUCCAGGUGUAGCGGUGGAAUGCGCAGAUAUCUGGAGGAACACCGGUGGCGAAGGCGGCCUCCUGGACCAUUCCUGACACUCAGACGCGAAAGCUAGGGUAGCAAACGGGAUUAGAUACCCGUGUAGUC
rnacentral:rRNA from 1 species